rnacentral:rRNA from 1 species
CCUACGGGGGGCAGCAGUGAGGAAUAUUGGUCAAUGGACGAGAGUCUGAACCAGCCAAGUAGCGUGAAGGAUGUCUGCCCUAUGGGUUGUAAACUUCUUUUAUAUGGGAAUAAAAUGUUCCACGUGUGGGAUUUUGUAUGUACCAUAUGAAUAAGGAUCGGCUAACUCCGUGCCAGCAGCCGCGGUAAUACGGAGGAUCCGAGCGUUAUCCGGAUUUAUUGGGUUUAAAGGGAGCGUAGGUGGAUUGUUAAGUCAGUUGUGAAAGUUUGCGGCUCAACCGUAAAAUUGCAGUUGAAACUGGCAGUCUUGAGUACAGUAGAGGUGGGCGGAAUUCGUGGUGUAGCGGUGAAAUGCUUAGAUAUCACGAAGAACUCCGAUUGCGAAGGCAGUUCACUGGACUGCAACUGACACUGAGGCUCGAAAGUGUGGGUAUCAAACAGGAUUAGAUACCCGUGUAGUC